AUACUCUCAGUGAUAUAAAUAGUUUUCAAGACAAUAAAUUGUUAGUUGUAGUGCUUGUGAAAGUUCAAAAUCUGCUUAAAACGAUGCUUUUAAAAUUACUUCGUUUGCCAGAUAAAGAAAAUCGGGGAAGCCAAUGGAUAAAUAUUGUGGAAAAGGGUAGCUGGACUCCUGGAAAAAACAGUUUCUCAUGUUCCAAACACUUUACAUUUGAUAGAUUAUCCUCUCUUAUUUUUAGAUUGUUAGCAAAUGCUGUAACUAUGAUUAGAGCCACUCGAAUGAAAUAUGUGAGAUCUGACUACCAUUCUGUUGAAGAAGUAACAGCUGCAUUUGUAACUGCUUCAGCUUUUCCCGGAUCUUGAGACUCUCGAUAAUUGGUAUUCUCUAAAGGGCUAGAGCAUAAUUUGAUGUAAAAUGCAAUGCAAAAAAAAUAAAGCAGCUCUAGACAUUAUAUAUGAAAGUAAUGCAGGUAGAAUUGCUGAUCUAAAUGAAAAAUGGGAUCAUAUUCCAUAUUUUUCAAGUGACCAUGAAUAUGUUUCAGUAUAAUAAAUAUUCCCAAUAUAAAUUUGAAAUGUCGCGUUCCGUUACUAAAAAAUAACAGACCUCUCUGAAAUGAGAACAAUGCAUUGAUGUUUUGCACGGAAAUAAACCAGACUUUUGUAUCCCCUAAUUACAAAUAAGUCAAAAGGUUGGUUAAGAUAUCCUAGUAAGUAUGUAAUUAACAAAUGUUCCACUUGUGAAAAAUAUUUAGAACUAGAGAGGAACGAAAAUAAUAAAAUUAAUGUUACUUAAAUAUGUUGCCAGGUAUUGCAAAAUUAUAAUUAAACAUAUAUUUAUUGAUUCCACAUGGGAACAAUCCUAUUGAGAGUCCAUAAAAUUUUGUUUGUCAAGAGUAUAUACCGAAUAAAUUUAAAUACACGACUACAUUUUAUUUGUAAAAGUGUUAUAAAUGUUGACGAAAUUAGACAAAUUUAUACAACACUCAUUCAAUUUAAGGGUUUAAUGUUUUGAUAAAUUAUUCACUCGUAAAAAUUUUCAAUUGAGUCAUUGAAAAUAUAAAUUUCAUUUUAUAGAAAUAGUUUUAUCCUAUCUAUAUUUAGGUACGAAGCCACUGAUAUAGUCUAUUUUGCGGCAGCCAUUUUGGAUAACCAUCCCGGUUAACUGUCCUUAACGUAAGAAUCAUUCCUUACUACUUUAUGUUCAAAGACAUGUCUACUUCUUUAUCAAAUUUUAGGGUUACCUUAAAUGUUUUCUAAUGCCUGUUUUUAGUGACUUCCUAGAUUGUAGAUUGUUUGUGAAGUUGUUUUGGCUUUGCACUUAUACCUAGAAACUAUUUUGUACAAGACUCUACAAUUUAUUGUUCUGCUUCUAAAAUACACAAACUCCUCCCAUAGGAUGUUAUUUUUUUAGAGUUUUGUGUCCCACUUCCAUUGUGUUAGUAAGACUCCUCAAGGUACUUGAAUCUUUCGAUAAAAUGAGCAGGAAAUUGACAGAGUAGAUGUUCUUUUGUCUACAUAGCUUGCUCCCAUGCAUAUCAUCUUAAAAUGGCAUAUGACCAAGUAAUAAACUGUCAGAACACUGACCACCAGUUUUAUGUCAUUUCUAAGCUAAUAUGGUUAUGAAUUUUUGGAUUGCUUUAAGCUUAUAGUGUUUCUUCAAUAAGACUCCAUCUUAUUAUUUAGCCAUCAGUUCAGUUCGUUAUUAAUGUGGCGUCGCAUGAGGUCACAUUUAGUUUGGAGACAAGGGUGUCAUCAUUACCUGGUAUACCCUAGUAACAACUUUAAGGUUACUUUGUUUUUAAUAGCUAGUGUUGAUAAAUUUUUUGGUAUUCCCAAGCCAGCUUGGAUGUGCAUUCAAUAACCUUUAGUAACUUCAAGUUCACUGACUUGAAUAUAUUUUUUGUUUGAUUAAAAUGUUGGUAGUAUUUAUCUCUCCGCUUGUGCUGUUCUUUUUAUUUUUGUAAAUUUAUGUAUUUGUUUGAAACGCCCAAUUAUUGAUAAUAUACAUAGUUCAUUAAAGAAUCGAAAUCCCAUCAAAAUAGAAAAAAUUGAUAGUGAUAAAAUAUAUUUAUAACGUAAUAUAUGUAUAAAUGAAAUCAAUGAUUAAAAUAAAACCACUAAUGAAUAUAAAAAUUGCCCUUGAAAGUACAUAUAUUCACAACCACUUUAAAUCUGAUAUCAAAGCGAUGUGAUCAGAUGGAAAUACAAAACUGGGUAAAGCCGUAUUUGCUGUAACUUCUUCAUGACUUGGUAAUGGAACUACUUGCGUUACUUCAAAAUUGGUCUUUUCAUAAAAAAUAUAAUCUAAACAUCCUUGAAAUUGUGCGGUAUAAUUAGUAUAAUUUGGAGUUCCACAAGCACUUGCUAAUACGAAAGGUUGCUUCAACUCUACUUCGGUUACAACUUCAUCUUUAUCUGAAAAGAAAAUUCAUCAACAUUACAUGUUCCAUUUUUCAUAAGAUUCAAUUCAAAAAUUUCAUUAAUUCGUUAGUAUUUUGUGACAGGUGUCAACUUCGAGGUUAAGGAUUACACAUUUAGCCAGAACAAUUGACAUUGUUGUAAUCCAUUUAAGUAUAGGUUGUCUGUAACUUGUAAUUACUGAUUUUUAAUCUAUUAUAUAAGAUUCUAAUUAGAUAAUCAGAAUUACUGUACAAAAAACAAACAACCACCUAAUUUAUAUGUAAUGGCUUUAAAAAGCUAAAGCACUAAAAAAUACUUACUACUGUGAUAAUCAAUAAAAUUCUUGGGCACUUC